UGGAGUUCGAUUGCUAGAGAAGUCCGUCUGCAAGGGUUUGGUUGGCACUGUUGAAGUUCGGUUGGCGCUGUUGAAGGUUGAUGGCUGGAGAGGUACAGAAGAUACUGGAGACAGUCAAUCACUGUAGAAAUCCAACUGCUGGAGCCCGUCCAUUGUAGAAGUUCGACUAGAAGCCAAUUCUAUUGUAGAAGUUUGGACGGAGUCCGAUUCUUGUAGGAGUCUGGAAGGAGGCCACUUACUGUAGAAGCUCGGAUGGAGACCGGUUGCCAUGAAAAUCUAAAUGGAG
rnacentral:lncRNA from 1 species